rnacentral:lncRNA from 1 species
AUUACUCACGAUAAACGUUCACAAAAAGCAUAACAAUUAUUUAAAGAAUUAUAGAUACAGACCUCCUCUAUGCACUCGAUAUGUCCGAUUUUAAAAUAGCUUUUUGGUGAAAGCACAUUUUGCAAUAUUCUAAGUACAUAGCCCAGGCAUCACGGGCUCGCUAUUUAGACACCCGGCAAGUUUAGCACUCACCAUAAUCAUAUUUACUAUUAUAAAAGUUUGAUUACCUUUUGUUGUCUUCGUCAGAAUGCACACCCAGGACUGCUACUUCAAUAACAAAUGUUGGUUUGGUCCAAAAUAAUCCAUCGUUAUAUCCGAAUAGCGGCGUUUUGUUCGUGCGUUCCAGACACUAUCCGAAAUAGUAAAGAAGUUGCGCAUGGCGCAAUUCGUGACAAUAAAAUUCUAAAUAUUCCAUUACCGUACUUCGAAGCAUGUCAACCGCUGUUUAAAAUCAAUUUUUAUGACAUUUUUCUCGUAGAAAAGCGAUAAUAUUCCGACAGGGAAUCUCCUUUUCGGCAAACAGAGGAAAAAAUCCCAAAGGCGGGGGCGGUCGGGUCACGAGCAUGAGCCCCAGUGUCCCUUGAUCGGCCACUUGAGAAAGGCGAUAAUGUGUUUCAGCCUGGGGCUGGAAUGACGACAUUCUGUUUAUUCCCGGGCUCUGAGCGCCUAUGGACGACGUGGGAAGUGUCACGUUAGAGCAGAGAUCCUUAGUAAAUGAUAGAGAUGGAAAAGAAGUUCCAGAAAUGGUCAGACAGGCCACUUCCUGUAAAGGAAUCUCUCAGGUUUUGACCUGCCAUUUGAGUUCUGUUAUACUCACAGACACCAUUCAAACAGUUUUAGAAAAUUUAGGGUGUUCUAUCCAUAUGUAAUAAGUAUAUGCAUAUUCUAGUUACUGGGUAGGAGUGGUAACCAGAUUAAAUCGGGUAUGUUUUUUAUCCAGCCGUGUCAAUACUGCCCCCUAUCCUAAACAGGUUAACCAGAACAUGAAUAAUAUUCAAGGUGGACGAAUGCAUUCUCUUUUAAAACGUAUUGGAACGAGGGUACCCAACAUGACCUCGCGUGCCAGAGUCUAAUCGGCCAUCACCGUUCCAAGGCUCUUGUUCGGUCAGAUCUCAUAGUAGAAGACUCAAAACACUUUGUAAAGGCUGGUGACAUCUAGUGGAAGCAAUAGGAAGUGCCAAAACAUUAAUCAGCCCCUGUGUGUUUCAAUGACAUAGGCUUAAAGGUAAUUCAACACAUCAGGUAUCCACUUCCUGUCAGAAAAUGUCUCAGGGUUUUGCCUGCCAAAUGAGUUCUGUUAUACUCACAGACACCAUUCAAACAGUUUUAGAAACUUUAGGGUGUUUUCUAUCCAUAUAUAGUAAGUAUAUGCAUAUUCUAGUUACUGGGUAGGAUUAGUAACCAGAUUAAAUCGGGUACGUUUUUUUAUCCAGCCGUGAAAAUACUGCCCCCUAGCCCCAACAGGUUAAAAUAGGUAACACUUCUGACCCCAGUACUGCAUUAUAAUAGGUAACACUUCUGAUCCCUGUUCUGCAUUCACCGACUCACAUUGACUCAUCGUGGCCGACUGUGUGAUUUUUCUCUCUCCGUGGCCGACUGUGUGUGUAAGACUCGUAAGGCCGCUGGGCCAGACGGAAUACCAGGGGUCGUUUUUCCAGAGCAUGUGCAGACCAGCUAGAAAGUGUCUUCGUUGACAUUUUUCAACAUCUCCUUGUUCUAGUCUGUCAAUUUUCCCUGCCAUUUUCCCACCAUUUUCCUUGUUCCGAAGAACUCCAAGGCAACCUGCCUAAAUGACUGUCGUCCCUGUAGCAAUCACGUCUGUCACCAUGGAAAUGCUUUAAAAGUUAUGUCACACAUCAACACCAUCGUCCCGGUCAUGUAGUACGCUUGACUGUACGCUUGUUUAUCUGUAACUCUGUUGUUGUUGUUUGUGUCGAACUGCUUUGCUUUAUUCUUGGCCAGGUCGCAGUUGUAAAUGAGAACUUGUUCUCAACUAGCCUACCUGGUUAAAUAAAAUAAAAAAUAGUGUCUCUCUGGCCCUCUGUGUGUGUGUGGCCUUAUCACACGUCCAAUAUAUGAAAUCAUUAAAAUAAGAUUUUCAACAACAAAAGAAUGUUACAAAAGCUGUACAACAUUUAUCCUAAAUCUAAACCAUCGGGUUGGUGAAUAAACAUUGGUGUUUUAAUAAAAAGGGUUUCAACAUGAAAUAUCUUCUUCUUUGACUACUGUCGGUGCGUAUUUGUGGUUGUUUUGGCGUUAGACUGGUAGGCAAUCGGGACAUGUUAUCGUUAGGAUGAGGUGCUGAGUUCAUUAAGAAAUCUAAAUGUUGAUUUACAUCUUUUCAUUAAUCAGGCUCUUUUCUCUUGAACCAUAUUGGUCUAUCUACUAGAGACUCAUGGGCAAUAUGGACUUAUUAUUAUUAUUAUUAUUAUUUUAAAAGGAAAUCUUUAUGAAAACGUUUGUUAUUGAAAUAUAAAUUAAGAAAGUUGCGAUAGAUUGUCACAGAUUUUCUGUCAAUUACGAAAAUUACUGAAGAUUGUGGUAACUUUGGUAAACUACUGGUAGUUUUGCAACCCUAUGGCUGAUACAUAGAACCCCUGGCCUUCAGACCUCCUGAGCUACAGAAGGACAUGUCCAGGUUAGGAAGGUUUCUCCCAGGGGACAUGUCCAGGUUAGGAAGGUUUCUCCCAGGGGACGUGUCCAGGUUAGGAAGGUUUCUCCCAGGGGACGUGUCCAGGUUAGGAAGGUUUCUCCCAGGGGACGUGUCCAGGUUAGGAAGGUUUCUCCCAGGGGACGUGUCCAGGUUAGGAAGGUUUCUCCCAGGGGACGUGUCCAGGUUAGGAAGGUUUCUCCUAGGUUUAUGAAUAUUUGCCCUACUUACUCAGCCAUGUUCCAUACUCUGUUUUCAGGGUUUAUAUUAAUACAUUGUUCUGCCUCUUGGAAUAUAUUCUAGAUAUAUCAGAUCAGUUAUCUUUCACCACCCAGAAUAUGUAAACACCAAACACACGCUCCCUUCCCUAAUCACUGCUGUCCUCUGGUGUGGCAGCCAGCCCUCAUAAAGCAGGCAAUGUGUCAAGAAGAGCCUCAUUACAACAACACAUGUCCAUUUAUGGUCCUGGAGACAAUCACUGAUUCUGUUGAUGGUUUGGAGGUCAAGGAAAUUAGACAUGAAAUGCACAGCAUUCCUCCUUUCCUCUCCCUCCUCUACCCUGCCUCCCUCCUCUACCCUGCCUCCCUCCUCUACCCUGCCCCCCUCUCUCUCCCCUUCUCCCCUCUCUCUCCCCUUCUCCUCUCCCUCCUCUAGUGGGAGAAGGUGUCAGAGUUUUGGUGGCAGGAUAGUCCCCCUCCUCCAGUACUUAAUGAAGGGAAGCGCGGGGCUUGUGGACAGGUGCUGGGUAGAGAGGGUGUCAGAGUUAAGAACUUCCAACCACAGAGAUUUAACAUCUGGCUACAAUUUAAAAUCUGUCAAGAAGAGGAUACUCUUUCUCUCACUCUCUCUUACUGCUGCCGCUCGCUCUCUCACCUCUCUCUCUCGUACUGCUGCUUCUCUCUUACUGCUGCCGCUCGCGCUCUCUCCUCUCUCUCUCGUACUGCUGCAGCUCUCUCUUACUGCUGCCGCUCGCUCUCUCUUGUACUGCUGCCUCUCUCUUACUGCUGCCGCUCACUCACUCUCCUCUCUCACUACUGCCGCUCGCUUUCUCCUCUCUCUCUUACUGCUGCCACUCGCUCUCUCUCUCUCGUACUGCUGCAGCUCUCUCUUACUGCUGCCGCUCGCGCUCUCUCUUGUACUGCUGCCUCUCUCUUACUGCUGCCGCUCACUCACUCUCCUCUCUCACUACUGCCGCUCGCUUUCUCCUCUCUCUCUUACUGCUGCCGCUCGCUCUCUCCUCUCUCUCGUACUGCUGCCUCUCUCUUGUACUGCUGCCUCUCUCUUGACGUUCGCUCUCUCUCCUCUCUCUCGUACUGCUGCCUCUCUCUCGUACUGCUGCCUCUCUCUCGUACUGCUGCCUCUCUCUCGUACUGCUGCCUCUCUCUCGUACUGCUGCCUCUCUCUCGUACUGC